GGGUGUGUAGCUCAAAGGUAGAGCAGUGGAAUCAUAAUCCAUUUGUUAUAGGUUCAAGUCCUAUCAUACCCA
rnacentral:tRNA from 1 species